CGUUUGUGGCUUUUUGCCAGCUAUAAUCCAUAGAGCUGACCAUAAAAAUCGCAGCACAUAAAAUAUGUGACUCGGCAUGUCACGAAUCUUGAUAUUUCUUUUCCACUUUUUGACAUGCACUUUGUGGAAAAUAUUUAGUAGCUCCACUAUGUUGUAAUUGCCACAUCUGUGAAGUGUGGAGACAUGUAUUUGUUCCUGCAGCCACUGUGCAAUGGCAGCUCUCAAUGACGUCCGGCAGUACCUCAGUGUUGAGGGAGGACAAGUGGUCAUAUUCAACGCCACCAAUACGACAAGAGAACGACGAGGGACCAUUGUCAAGUUUGCCGAGCAAAACGGUUUCAAGGUAAGCGUGGAGUCUGUGUGUGAAGACCCAGACGUCAUCGCGCAGAACAUCGUGGUGGCGAAGCUCGGCAGCCCCGACGACAUCCACUGUGACACUCAAUAGGCCAUCUAAGACUUUAUGAAAAGGAUCAAGUGCUAUGAGUCGUCAUACCAGCCUCUAGACGAGGUUUUGGACAGGUGAGUUGACACAACAUGAGGUACAUGUGAAUAGUCUAAACAGCUGGUGUGCAUAAGGAACAAGGUUAUUUUAUUUUCGUGAGCAAAAAUUCUCAUUUUGUUUGGGGGGGUUGACAAGGGCUAUGUAGCUUUUAUAUCCACUGUAGUCCCUCGGCCCUCAUCAAAUUGGCUUACCCCUCACCAUAUAUUUAUUCAUUUAUUCACCCCCAACUUUCAUCAACCUAUCAUCUUUCCUUUCCACCACCUCAUUUCGCUCUAAUCCACAAAUUAAAUAAGCAGGCAUAGGUGACACAUGUACAAUAAUUUUUAUUCGGCGGCCACAGCUUUUGCAUAUUACAACUGUUGGCGUUCAGAAGGCAAAAAAAAAAAAGCAAGAA